rnacentral:rRNA from 1 species
GAUGAACGCUGGCGGCGUGCCUAAUACAUGCAAGUCGAGCGAACAGACGAGGAGCUUGCUCCUCUGACGUUAGCGGCGGACGGGUGAGUAACACGUGGAUAACCUACCUAUAAGACUGGGAUAACUUCGGGAAACCGGAGCUAAUACCGGAUAAUAUAUUGAACCGCAUGGUUCAAUAGUGAAAGACGGUUUUGCUGUCACUUAUAGAUGGAUCCGCGCCGCAUUAGCUAGUUGGGAAGGUAACGGCUUACCAAGGCAACUAUGCGUAGCCGACCUGAGUGGGUGGUCGGCCACACUGGAACUGGAACACGGUCCAGACUCCUACGGGAGGCAGCAGUAGGGAAUCGUCCGCAAUGGGCGAAAGCCUGACGGAGCAACGCCGCGUGAGUGAUGAAGGUCUUCGGAUCGUAAAACUCUGUUAUUAGGGAAGAACAAAUGUGUAAGUAACUAUGCACGUCUUGACGGUACCUAAUCAGAAAGCCACGGCUAACUACGUG